AUUGAACGCUGGCGGCAUGCUUUACACAUGCAAGUCGAACGGUAACAGGUAAAGCUGACGAGUGGCGAACGGGUGAGUAAUGCAUCGGAACGUGCCCGCUCGUGGGGGAUAACGCAGCGAAAGCUGCGCUAAUACCGCAUACGAUCUGAGGAUGAAAGCGGGGGACCGUAAGGCCUCGCGCGAUCGGAGCGGCCGAUGUCAGAUUAGGUAGUUGGUGGGGUAAAGGCCCACCAAGCCGACGAUCUGUAGCUGGUCUGAGAGGACGACCAGCCACACUGGGACUGAGACACGGCCCAGACUCCUACGGGAGGCAGCAGGGGGGAAUUUUGGACAAUGGGCGAAAGCCUGAUCCAGCAAUGCCGCGUGCAGGAAGAAGGCCUUCGGGUUGUAAACUGCUUUUGUACGGAGCGAAAAGGUCCUUUCUAAUACAAGGGGCUCAUGACGGUACCGUAAGAAUAAGCACCGGCUAACUACGUGCCAGCAGCCGCCGUAAGAC
rnacentral:rRNA from 1 species